GCCGGCGUCCCGGUCGCCGCCGCACCAGGGGCACACCGGCUGCGCGGCGGAGACCGGGACGGCAGCGGC
rnacentral:pre_miRNA from 1 species